rnacentral:tRNA from 1 species
GCUCACGUCGCUUAACGGUAAAGCACUUCCCUUGUAAGGAAGAUGAUGACGGUUCAAAUCCUGUCCGUGAGCCCCA